rnacentral:rRNA from 1 species
UACGGAGGGUGCAAGCGUUAAUCGGAAUUACUGGGCGUAAAGCGCGCGUAGGUGGUUUUGUAAGUCGGAUGUGAAAGCCCUGGGCUCAACCUGGGAAUUGCAUUCGAUACUGCUUAACUAGAGUAUGGUAGAGGGAAGUGGAAUUUCCGGUGUAGCGGUGAAAUGCGUAGAUAUCGGAAGGAACACCAGUGGCGAAGGCGACUUCCUGGGCCAAUACUGACACUGAGGUGCGAAAGCGUGGGUAGCAAACAGG